CGCACCUUGCGCUCCUCGGUAUUCCGAGGAGCAUGCCUGUUCGAGUGUCAUCGAAAUCUCGAAUCGAAGCUUGGACCCGGUCCGAGCUUCGUUCGGACAGUGGGAGUCUGCGGGCGAAGCCUCGCUACGUCCGCUCUCCUCAAAAGCAUUAGCCGUGGACGCCAGCCUUGCAUGGCACGGCCUCUUCGACGUCGUAAUGAUCGUCGCGGGCUGGAAGUGCGAGGCGGGACCGACCACGCUUCCCUAGACUUGCGAGCCCGUUCUCCUCGGGGAACGGCCGCGCCCCCAUCGAUGCUUGACCUCGAAUCAGGUAGGACUACCCGCCGAACUUAA
rnacentral:misc_RNA from 1 species